CACAUAAUCAAAAAAGAAUAUUACUUGAGUGGAUAAAGUUACAUCCCGAAGUGGCAAGAGGAAGAUUGCGACGGAAAGGUAAAAGUAAACAAAAAAUGAAAGAAUUAUUAGAGGAUAUGGCAAAUGUCAUAAACACAGCGAAUGAAGGUCCCAUAAAAUCUAGUUCGGAAUGACGUGGAAGGAUUGGAAAAUGUACGUACUAAAAAAAGAAACUAUACGAAGAGCUCAUCAUCAAGGAAUAGGUGGAGGAUCUCCCAUAAAAAUAUCUUUUUCAACAUUAGAAGAAGGAUUAUUUGAAUUUUUAACCCCGGAAGCAGCAGGAUUAGAAAAUAUUCCGCAAG